AGAAAAACUGCAUGAGAGAAGGUACAUCAAUAUAUGUCCAGCCCAGAGGAGUGAUUGGUAAAUAUAUGAUAAAUGAAUGUCCUCAGAACAAGAAAAUAAAAUUUUUUUUCUACCUUUUUUUUUUCAGUUCAAGAUUAUAGCUCAGUGGCUAAAGAAGAAAAACUCCAGUGUUUUCCCACCUAUAAAUUAGCUUAUGAGGUAAUCGGAAAAAGACAAGACUUAAGAAUAAAAUAAUAAAGACUACAAGGCAAAGAUUUCUAAUACCUAAAAAGAGGAACAAAGAAUAUAUGUUGAUGAAGAAAUUCAUCUAUAGACAUAUCAGGUUGAACUCGAGUAGGAGAAAUUCUCAUUUUCAAGGAAGGUCACAGAAGUGGAAAACACUUACUUUGAACUACUAAUCCUGGAAUUUCAGGCAAAAUGCAAUACAAUUUAAGUUAUUGAGUCAGAGAGAAAUGGGCAGAAGGAAUGGAAUUCUCUUAAGAAAAAGAAUUUAGUGCUGGGAUUGUUCUUACAGUAGAAAAUGCUGUGCAUGUUUGCAAAUCAGGAAAUGAAUGAGAAUUCAGUUUUUCAGAACCUUCCUUACAAGGGGUUCUUACAUGAGAAAUUCCUAAUGUUAUUUUUAAUAAGUGGUUAUAAUAUAAUAAUGGUAAUAACAAUGAUGAGUAAUUACAAUAGCAACUGUUCAAUUUUUAUGUAAAAGUAUUUUAAAAGAGAGAAACUUAGAUGAGUUUUUUUCCAACCCACUACAGAUUAAAUAGAUCUUAUCUCAGUUGAAAAAAAUCACUUUAGAAAAAAUGUCAUCAACUUUUGCAUCUCUUUGGCAGAUAAACUCUACAAUUCCCUUUAUAACCUCACACAUCUGUCCAUGAGGGGUGUACACACAGUUGGACCUUUUCCACACUUUCUGAUUUGGGAAAUGUCUAGAGAAGUUCCUUUGCAUGCUCAGGAAUGCACUGACUGAAGAAACAGCACACUUACUGCUGGCAAGACUCUGAAAUAAUGGGUAUCGUGGCAUGGUUUGGGAAAGUUGCUUGCCAUGGAAUGUGUGGUUCAGGCAAAUCGUUUAUCAUAACUUGCAACCCCUGUUCACCUUCCAACUGUCCCUUAAUCAGACCUGUUUGUCCAGAAUAGUGGUAAAGUGGUGGUUUGGAACCAGACAGUCCUAGUCUCAAAUAAGACACACUGCAUUUCAGAAUAUCAGUCUGUCUAUGUGUGGAGUGAGGAAAAUAGUCCAUCAAGGUUAUAAUACAUAUAAAUCUUCUUGUUCAUAGUUGAUUUUCAAUAAAUAUUACCCAUUGUCAUAAACUUCUAAUGGAAACAGUACAAGAAUGAAAUCAUAGUUCUCUUAUCCAUUUCCUUUGGGUGACCGUUUAUGUUUUCUCUAAUAAAUUGCCAGAAAAUCCCAUUUUUAAAAAAUGACAGACGGUCUGUUCUUUUGUAAAUCACUGGUUAUGAAGACUGAGUCAAUUGGCUGCCUUACUCUUCUCUCCUCAUUGUCCCAGAAAAGAGAUGCCUAUGUUUUCAGCCCCAGUGGAUUCCCAAAUCUCAGGCCCCCAACCCCCAAAAAUAAAACAAAGACAAAGACAUGAAAUGUAUAACCAAGAAUGUUUAGAAAUCCUUCUUUCAAAAUCAUUGCUAAUGACUUGAUAAUUACUCCAAGGGUUUGUCAAGCAUGCAUCACAUGUGUUCACAUUUGGGAACUGAUUAUUUCAAAAUCAUCUUAUUUUGCUUUAGUGUUUCAGCUCCUUCAGAUGUCUGCUGAAGAUUUACUGAAGAAAUACAAAUUGGUGGCAUGUUGAUUAGUCAAUUAUGUUACAUACUAGCCAUUCAUAUGAAGAGUGUGAAGGAAGAGUGUGGCAGGAAGAUUUCCUCAAACAAUACUCAGAAAUGUGGAAGGUUUAAUAUAGUGAUACUAAGGCCACAGUUCACUGUAUCUUUGAAUAGCACUCCUUAAAAUACAAUGCUCUCUCACAUGUCAUUCAUGAUUCCACUAGUGCUAAUAAUUACACUGUGAUGGAGUUAUUAUCAGCACUGUCUUAAAGGUCAAUAACUGAGCCACCAGAAAUCUCAUAUGCAUGUUAUCUAAUGAGUGGCAGAUCCUGCACUUAAACUCAUGUAAAGUUAAAACAUGCAUACUCACUAAGAACCAGGGGCUUUUCAUAUGAUAUUUAUUCCUCAAGGCAACCAUACAAGAAGGGUGACAUUUUCUUAGAUUUUGGAAAACUAAGACACUUGCCCUCAAUAUAUAUCUCUUGUCUGAAAGUACUUAGGUAAAAGGAGCAUUCGGCGAACGGAUGGAUAACAAGGUAUCUCACCUAAUCAAAUAAAGAGUGAAAAAGUUAAAUAUAUCAAAUAUAGGAGUGGAGUUGAGCCCCAUGAAGAGCUGAGUAUAGGAACUUGAAUAAUGCCAAGAUGUUCUCUGGCUCAUUUCCACAUCUUAUUCUGAUAACUUCAUUUUCUCUCAGUGAGGUUAGGCUUUCUCCAUGUGGUGGGUGUCAGUAUCCCUAAGUCUCCUAUGCCUCAGCUUCACCACUAAAAAUGAGAACCUUUAUUUUUUUCCCCUCAGAUCCUUUAGUAAAAAUCUAGGCGAAUAACCUAUUUGCUCAAUUUGGUAUAGGUGCCUAAUAAUGGACAAAUUAAUUGUGAUCAGUGGGACAGGGCCAUCUGGGAACAUAGUGAGUUACUCUAUCUAUGACCACAUCAUUGGAGUGGGUAAAGGAAGGGGUGUUCUAUUCUGAGAAGAAUGGGAAAACUCUAGGUAGGUAAAACAACAAAUAUCUGUCUCAAGACUGUAAUGUAUCAGCCUGAUCUUCUGCCUUAUGGAUCAUAAGCCUCUUGAAUCACAAUUCCCAUAUUUAUCAAAGGUGGAUGAAGCCUGUUAUUUAAAGAAAGUAAAGGUAAGGGGGAAAGGGGAAGGGGAGCAAGAGAGCUGGGUCAUGUUACAUGUACGGCCAUCUAUAUGUUUACAACAAUUUAUUUUAUGGAAGAGGAAACUGAGGCUCAGAAAAGUAACUUGUACAGAAUUAUAGAGCUAUUAAGUGACAGAAGCAAGAUCUGAACCCAAGUUGACUGUCUCCAGAGCCCAUAUCCAUAACCACUAGCCCCAAAAACCUCUCAACAAAAAUGGAGAACAAGAAACCACUAGACAGAACAGGGAAGAGAAGCUGUUUUUUCAAGGCCAUCCAGAGACUGAUGUGCAAUGGCCAAGCAACAGGGAUUAUAGAGGGCUCUGCUCUUGGCCAACUGUGUGAUCUUGCACAAGUGCUUGACCUCCCUUAGCCUGUUUCCUCAUUAUCAAGAAAACAGAUGGGACAGGCUCAAACAUUCCUAGAGUCUGUUAUGCCAUACAGUCAACUGCAUCAAAAACCCCAGGGAGGUGGCUUCGAUUCCUAUUCUUUUUCUAAAACAUAGUCCUUCUAGGUGAACUGGAGACUAUGUGCUGAGAUUCUUCCCAGGUUUGCCUCCCCAGCUGCAUGUGGCACACACGAGGCAUGGUUAGAUGAUCUAUUUUCUAUGUAUGUUUGUAGCCAGUUGUUCAGCUCCACUGUGAUAAAAUCAUGAAUCAUUGUUACUGGAUCUCAGUGAAGCAAAUAUGAUGAGGCAGGAAAAAUUUCUCAGAACACAUACCCCAGAGAGACUACAAAUGAACCAUUGCGUUAUUGUCUUUUUUCAAAUCAUGAGAUCAUUCUGAUUCUUUCACACUUUUUCAUGACACACACUCUUUCAUUCCCCAACUUAUACACACCCCAAGUUCGGUCCUUGUCUUCCUACCCAAACUCUUAACUCAGGACAAACUUUGACUCAAAUGCAGACCCUAAUGUGUGAUACCUAGCCCAUCUAGCCAGUAAGGUGAGGGCCAGAGCUGGCUACAAAAAGACAAUCUUAAUGAAUCCUCUGCUGAAUAGGAAAUGUGCUCUGUUUGUGAAGCUAAUUAACUGAAUUCAUUUAAUUGAAAGAUGGUGCGAGAAUUCUGUUUUCUUUCAGAAAAGGCUGAAGGAAUUGAAGAGAAAAAUCCUCACCCAAUAGCAUGCCCCUGACUAUAUGUCACUGGGAAGUCACAGCAAAUGCUCUGAAGACCCAUGCCUGGAAUUUAAUGAAGCACUUUCUUCUCAAAUCUGGCUUUCCUCCUGACCCUCCCAAUUUCUCUCAAACGGCGAGGAGAAAGAAGAAAUACCCAUCGACGUUGAAUCAUGUUUGGCGGAGAAAUAAGCUUGUUUUACCACUGUUUGUCAUUGGAA
rnacentral:lncRNA from 1 species